GAUGCAGUGGUUGAGUGGUUAACUCGCUCUCUUUGGGCCUAUGCACAUGGGAGAGGUCAGGGGUUCGAACCCUCUACGCGCCU